rnacentral:rRNA from 1 species
GGGGAAUAUUGCACGAUGGAGGAAACUCUGAUGCAGCAACGCCGCGUGAGUGAUGAAGGUCUUCGGAUUGUAAAACUCUGUCUUAUGGGACGAUAAUGACGGUACCAUAGGAGGAAGCCACGGCUAACUACGUGCCAGCAGCCGCGGUAAUACGUAGGUGGCAAGCGUUGUCCGGAUUUACUGGGCGUAAAGGAUGUGUAGGCGGAUAUUUAAGUGGGAUGUGAAAUACUCGGGCUUAACCUGGGUGCUGCAUUCCAAACUGGAUAUCUAGAGUGCAGGGGAGGAAAGUAGAAUUCCUAGUGUAGCGGUGAAAUGCGUAGAGAUUAGGAAGAAUACCAGUGGCGAAGGCGACUUUCUGGACUGUAACUGACACUGAGGCUCGAAAGCGUGGGGAGCAAAC